GAUGAACGCUAGCGGCAGGCUUAAUACAUGCAAGUCAAGGGGGUAGCAAUACAACCGGCGCACGGGUGAGUAACGCGUACACAACAUACCAUAUACUGGGGUAUAGCUUUGGGAAACUGAAGGUAAUCCCCCAUAACAUUGCGAGAGGGCAUCUGAUUGCAAUUAAAGUUUCGGCGGUAUAUGAUGGUGUGCGUUUGAUUAGCUAGUUGGUAGGGUAACGGCCUACCAAGGCGACGAUCAAUAGCUGGCGUGAGAGCGCGACCAGCCACACUGGAACUGAGACACGGUCCAGACUCCUACGGGAGGGCAGCAGUAGGGAAUAUUGGACAAUGGAGGGCAAGUCUGAUCCAGCCAUCCCGCGUGGAGGAAUAAUGCCCUAUGGGUUGUAAACUCCUUUAGCUGGGGAAUAAAAGACCGAUUUAUCGGGAAUUGAAGGUACCCCAGAGAAUAAGCACCGGCUAACUCCGUGCCAGCAGCCGCGGUAAU
rnacentral:rRNA from 1 species